AGUUUAACACCACUUGAACCCCCUCUCUUCCUCUCUUGGAGCCAGCCCCAAACACCCACACAAACACACCAAUUUCUUUUUAUUUUGGAGAAGAUCUAGCAAGCAUAAGCACUAAUCAAGAGGAUCCAAGGUGUUUGUAAGAAGGAUAUGGAGUUUGAAGCUUUGUGAUUUACUGUGAAAAGAAGAAAAGUUCUAUGAAGUACUCAAGAAUAAAUAAGUGGUUAUGUAAACCUGAAUAAAACAUGGUUUUGUAAUCAAGAACUUAUCCUCGUGAAAAUCAUCUAUGUAAAUACGGGUUCUACCGCACAGUUUAAGAAAUGAAGAAUUAGUGUUUUAAAACUCUGAUAUUUUUCCUGACACCCGAUCCUGAUAAGUUUUCUACUGCGAUAAUUUAAUAAACACCGGUACCACUUGUAUCUGUUCA
rnacentral:lncRNA from 1 species